rnacentral:rRNA from 1 species
GAUGAACGCUGGCGGCGUGCUUAACACAUGCAAGUCGAACGGUGAAGGCGGAGCUUGCUCUGCUGGAUCAGUGGCGAACGGGUGAGUAACACGUGAGCAAUCUGCCCCUGACUCUGGGAUAAGCGCUGGAAACGGCGUCUAAUACUGGAUACGAGCUGCGAAGGCAUCUUCAGCAGCUGGAAAGAAUUUCGGUCAGGGAUGAGCUCGCGGCCUAUCAGCUUGUUGGUGAGGUAAUGGCUCACCAAGGCGUCGACGGGUAGCCGGCCUGAGAGGGUGACCGGCCACGCUGGGACUGAGACACGGCCCAGACUCCUACGGGAGGCAGCAGUGGGGAAUAUUGCACAAUGGGCGAAAGCCUGAUGCAGCAACGCCGCGUGAGGGACGACGGCCUUCGGGUUGUAAACCUCUUUUAGCAGGGAAGAAGCGAAAGUGACGGUACCUGCAGAAAAAGCGCCGGCUAACUACGUG